CCUACGGGAGGCAGCAGUGAGGAAUAUUGGUCAAUGGGCGGGAGCCUGAACCAGCCAAGCCGCGUGAGGGAAGAAGGUACAGCGUAUCGUAAACCUCUUUUGACAGGGAACAAAGGCGGGGACUAGUCCCCGGAUGAGGGUACCUGAAGAAAAAGCAUCGGCUAACUCCGUGCCAGCAGCCGCGGUAAUACGGAGGAUGCGAGCGUUAUCCGGAUUUAUUGGGUUUAAAGGGUGCGCAGGCGGCCUGUUAAGUCAGCGGUAAAAGCCCGGGGCUCAACCCCGGCGAGCCGUUGAAACUGGCGGGCUUGAGUUGGAGAGAAGUACGCGGAAUGCGCGGUGUAGCGGUGAAAUGCUUAGAUAUCGCGCAGAACCCCGAUUGCGAAGGCAGCGUACCGGCUCCACACUGACGCUGAGGCACGAAAGCGUGGGUAUCGAACAGGAUUAGAUACCCGAGUAGUC
rnacentral:rRNA from 1 species